UACGUAGGGUGCAAGCGUUGUCCGGAAUCAUUGGGCGUAAAGAGCGUGUAGGCGGCUCGAUUAGUCCGCUGUAAAAGUCCAGGGCUCAACCCUGGGAUGCCGGUGGAAACUGUCGGGCUAGAGUCCGGGAGAGGCGAGUGGAAUUCCUGGUGUAGCGGUGAAAUGCGCAGAUAUCAGGAGGAACACCAAUGGCGAAGGCAGCUCGCUGGAACGGUACUGACGCUGAGACGCGAAAGCGUGGGGAGCGAACCGG
rnacentral:rRNA from 1 species